UACGAAGGGGGCUAGCGUUGCUCGGAAUCACUGGGCGUAAAGGGCGCGUAGGCGGACAGUUUAGUCAGAGGUGAAAGCCCAGGGCUCAACCUUGGAAUAGCCUUUGAUACUGGCUGUCUUGAGUUCGGGAGAGGUGAGUGGAAUGCCGAGUGUAGAGGUGAAAUUCGUAGAUAUUCGGCGGAACACCAGUGGCGAAGGCGACUCACUGGCCCGAUACUGACGCUGAGGCGCGAAAGCGUGGGGAGCAAACAGG
rnacentral:rRNA from 1 species